rnacentral:rRNA from 1 species
UAGUAUUCAAUUGUCAGAGGUGAAAUCCCUUGGAUUUAUUGAAGACUAACUACUGCGAAAGUAUUUGCCAAGGAUGUUCUCAUUAAUCAAGAACGAAAGUUAGGGGAUCGAAGACGAUCAGAUACCGUCGUAGUCUUAACCAUAAACUAUGCCGACUAGGGAUCGGAUGAUGUUAAUUUUUUAAUGACUCA